GUCAAGAUAAGCUAAGUUUAAGCUUUUGGGUUCAUACCCCAAAUAUGGAUUCCCUUUUGACA
rnacentral:tRNA from 1 species